GACAGAGGGUGCAAACGUUGUUCGGAAUUACUGGGCGUAAAGCGCGUGUAGGCGGCUAAGUAAGUCGGGCGUGAAAUCCCACGGCUCAACCGUGGAAGUGCACUCGAAACUGCAUAGCUAGAGUCCUGGAGAGGAAGGUGGAAUGCUUGGUGUAGAGGUGAAAUUCGUAGAUAUCAAGCGGAACACCGGUGGCGAAGGCGGCCUCUGGACAGUGACUGACGGCUG
rnacentral:rRNA from 1 species